GUAUUAAUUGCAUAUUAUUGCAAGAGACAUUCUACACUGUAUCGAGUUUGUGUGAAAACGCAAGCCCCCCCUCUGAACGAGCCAAAAGGGGGACCCACGCGGUGGUGCACAGGGUGAGAUGGAUUGUUUGAAAAUGCUCGGGCGUGCACGACCAAAAGUCAGCGACAGCCCUUGCACCUCAGUUUUACGAUAAUGAUCCUUCCGCAGGUUCACCUACGGAAA
rnacentral:misc_RNA from 1 species